rnacentral:rRNA from 1 species
GUAGGUGGCAAGCGUUGUCCGGAAUUGUUGGGCGUAAAGCGCGCGCAGGCGGUCCUUUAAGUCUGAUGUGAAAGCCCACGGCUCAACCGUGGAGGGUCAUUGGAAACUGGGGGACUUGAGUACAGAAGAGGAAAGCGGAAUUCCAAGUGUAGCGGUGAAAUGCGUAGAGAUUUGGAGGAACACCAGUGGCGAAGGCGGCUUUCUGGUCUGUAACUGACGCUGAGGCGCGAAAGCGUGGGGAGCAAACAGGAUUAGAUACCCUGGUAGUCCACGCCGUAAACGAUGAGUGCUAAGUGUUAGGGGGUUUCCCGCCCCCCUUAGUGCUGCAGCUAACGCAUUAAGCACUCCGCCUGGGGGAGUACGGCCGCAAGGCUG